rnacentral:rRNA from 1 species
UCGGGAAUUUUGGGCAAUGGGCGAAAGCCUGACCCAGCAACGCCGCGUGAAGGAUGAAGUAUUUCGGUAUGUAAACUUCGAAAGAAUAGGAAGAAUAAAUGACGGUACUAUUUAUAAGCUCCGGCUAACUACGUGCCAGCAGCCGCGGUAAUACGUAGGGAGCAAGCGUUGUUCGGAUUUACUGGGCGUAAAGGGCGCGUAGGCGGCGCGGUAAGUCACUUGUGAAAUCUCUGAGCUUAACUCAGAACGGCCAAGUGAUACUGCAGUGCUAGAGUGCAGAAGGGGCAAUCGGAAUUCUUGGUGUAGCGGUGAAAUGCGUAGAUAUCAAGAGGAACACCUGAGGUGAAGACGGGUUGCUGGGCUGACACUGACGCUGAGGCGCGAAAGCUAGGGGAGCAAACGGGAUUAGAUACCCGCGUAGUCCCUGAGCGGGCUGGCAAGGCGC